rnacentral:piRNA from 1 species
CCUGGCGACCCCUCUAGCAGCUG